CACGCCCCUCACCGGGUGACUGGGGAGCGGCGCGGUCUGUGGCGGUGGGGACAUAGCCUCGGGGUCGCGCUGGACAAUGGGUUGACGGUGUGCGGGUCCUGGAUCUGACAGUUGUUUCCAGCAGCAUCUAAACUCAAUGUCUCCCAGUACUUAAGAUGACAUAAAUUUGAAGGAAAUCCCCAGUUGUUUCAUUAGUGUCAGUAUCAGAGGUUAAAUGACUUCCAGGAAACCAUAAAUACGCACAAAGAGAAGCUGGUGGUUCUUGCUGCUUUCUUCCAUACCUCAAGGUAGAGAACUGGCUUAACUUCUUGCACCAAUGUGCAUCACUGAAGAUCUUGCUCGCCAAUCGAACUGUCAACUCACUGAUCUUGGUUGCCACCGAUCUUUGUUGCCACCGAUCUUUGUUGCCACCAUUGUGUAGGACUCCUUUGCUGAGGGUGGAAUGCGUUUGUAUGAGCAGCCAGCAAGCUCAAAGGUUCUCAAUGGAAAAAAAAAAAAAAAAAAAAAAAAAAGCUGGCAGGCGGACACGCAUGCGCAGGCUGUUAGCCCUGUAGUUGGGGAGAUAAUUGCCCUUCUAAUCAUCUAGAAACUGCAAGUGAAAGAAGGCCGUUGUGAUGUGCUCGGUGUUUUGUUUCUCUCCCAAGUUUCCAAAAAACGAACUUUAUGAAUAAAGAAGCAAAGGUCAAACAGAACGGAAUAGAGUCUAAUCAGUCAAAACAAGAUAGUGGGAGUAAUACAGGACUUCAAAACAAGUUAAUAGGAAAUCAAAAAAGUUAUUAUAAUAUAUCCUGCUAAUUUUCCCCCUUAAUUAAAAAAAUAAAAAAAUAACUAAAUUUUUUUUAAUGAAUAAGAAAGAGAUUGAGAUAAAAGAGGACAUAACAACAUAGCAAUUCAGGUCAAAGCAUGACAAUUUCAGCAGCCUAGUGCUUCACCAACAAAUAACCCGACCUUGUAGUUACCAUAGUGUCUUUUUCCUUGAAAUAUUUGAAUAAAACUUCAUAUACUAUAGCAUCAAACAUAUCAAGACAGUGUAAAAGCAUUCAAGUGGAUGAAAGUAUUGUAUUUAGAACCAGCUAACAGAAAACGAGCAAUGGUUUCUAUAUUAUCUCUUUGCCUAUAAUAAUUUUUAUUUAUACUAUCACAUAUAAUAAAAUCCAGCAAGAUAUAUCAUGAUAAAACCAAUGGAGACAGAAGAGCCAUAGUUUGGUGGGGCUUCAAAACAAGAUGAUAUUAAAUCAGCACUAGCUAUGACUUGUUUUCUUCAAAAUAGCUGUUCAUUUCAUCACAGGCAAUAAUAUCAAGCAGCCCAGAAUAAAGCCAUUCCAAUUAAUAAGUGAAAACUUUAUAAGGCUUCAUGACCACAUAAUGGGGAAUCAUGAUUACCACGUGUUUACAAUGUUUAGGUUCUAUUGGUCUUGUUCUGUACUGUUUUGCUCAACUUUAUAAUACCUAAUGAUAUAGGCAAUUCUUUUUAAGGAAGCAAGAGGCAUUAUGGUAACCAUUGUUGAUAACCUUGUACUCUAUUUUUACAUCAUGUGCUAUGUCUAUCCUUGGUUUUGACUGACAGCUUUGUUUUGUCAUAUUUGGUUUUAUUCUCUUCCAAAAAAAUAAUAAGAACUAUGGGAGUAAUAAAACCCAAAAUGUGUAAAUUUUGUUGUAAAAAAAGCGAGGGAAAAAAAGUACUCUAAAGAAUACAACUGCAAGUGUGUUUAGGUGUGUUAAGAUAGAUGACCAUAUUAAUGUUUUUGUUGGAUCAUUGAACACAACUGUUUGCAGUCUCACUGUUUGAAUGUCCACUUUGUAUGCUUUGAUCCUGUGACUUGAGCAACUAUCUCUAAGAUGAUAAUGUGUAAUCUAUUAACUGGUGAUUUCUUACUUUUUUUUUUUUGUAGUUCUGUAUUACUUGUACCCUUACACUGUUUUGUUUUGGUUUUUUUUUCUCUUUUUAAAUAAAAUUUAAAAAAAAAAGAAGCAAAGGUCCUCUAAAGUGGUAUGCAGUGUGCCCAAUCCUGUGUAAUCUGUUUCUGUGAUCUCAAAAAGUUGGGGAGGUUUCCACAACCAAACUGGAGCCUUGCUGAGUUCCUACUUCUUUGAUCUAGCUUUUCUGGGAUGCUAUAUCAGAACCUGGACCUGACCCUUGAAACUUUGAACCUUACCAGUCCUUUUUUUUUUUUUUUCAACAUUUUAUUCACAAAAUACAGUUGGUAUUGAACCAUUAAAUAACAUUAACUAAGACAUUGAUCUGCCAAAGAAGUUGUUCAUGACUCAUUAAAAUGCAUGUCAGCAUACAGGGUAACUUAAUGUAUACUUUAUUGCAAAGUUCUGUACCCGAGCAUAUGGUAAAAACGUUAUUUUUGAAAAAGCCCAUGGGAAAGUUCCCAUACAAAAUAUUAAGACUAAGUAAUAUCACCGAAAUUUCUGAGAUCCACAGAAGUUAUUCACUUUUACCUUUACACCAAGUACUUAAAGUGAUUUUUUUGAUAAAUGUGUAAAUAUAGGUAGAACAAUGCUUCCUUGAUUAGAGUGCUAUUACUAGAAGUGGCUUUUGAUGAACCUUUGAAGAAGAAGUGAUUCUUAAUGUGUUAAACCACUUUUUUUUUUUACUUAAAAAGAAAAUUUAAAACACUCUAGACAAAAAGAAAAUAGUGUGAGACAUGCAAUGGAGUAACAUCAUAAAGGUAAAGAAAAGUGUUCAAUAACGGCAAAAGUAAUACGUUUCUGUAAGGACCGUUGGUUUUGAUUAGCACCUUUUCUGUAAGUCUAAAUCAUUAUCCACAUAUUUUAAGUACUGAAAUUGCAAUUGCAACUUCUGAGUGAAAGUUCAUUUUCAGCCUCUUAAGCUCUUAAAAUCACUUAAAUCACCUGUUAUUAAGCUUGCUACCUAGAAACUGAAUGAAAAAUAUCAGAGCAGUCACUAAUAGUUACUGUGUAUAGAGGAGUUCUUGUUUUUCCAUCAACUUCUCAUUUUCUUGACUUGUGUAUUUUCUCCUGUAGUCACAUAAAGUUGGAUCAUAGUAUAUGUUGGAAUGCAUUCAGUCUUUCUUUGAAAAUGGCACUAAAAUUCAUGGGAAGAGAUUUAAUAAUUUUUUUACAAUGUUUUACCAUACUUCAGGAGUAGAAAGUGUGUUGAGGAGCUAUGAUGAACACUGAGGUGAAUGGAUUGUUUUAUUUUCUCAC